rnacentral:rRNA from 1 species
UACGGGGGGGGCAAGCGUUGUUCGGAAUUACUGGGCGUAAAGCGCGCGUAGGCGGCUCUUCAAGUCGAGUGUGAAAGCUCCAGGCUUAACCUGGGAAUUGCGCUCGAUACUGUUGAGCUAGAGUGUGGAAGGGGCUACUGGAAUUCCGUGUGUAGCGGUGGAAUGCGUAGAUAUACGGAGGAACACCAGCGGCGAAGGCGGGUUGCUGGGCUGACACUGACGCUGAGGCGCGAAAGCUAGGGGAGCGAACGGG